AACGCGAAGAACCUUACCUGGGCUUGAACCGCACAGGACCAGCUCCAGAAAUGGGGCCUUCCCGCAAGGGACUGGAGUCGAGGUGCUGCAUGGCUGUCGUCAGCUCGUGUCGUGAGAUGUUGGGUUAAGUCCCGCAACGAGCGCAACCCUUGUCCUGUGUUGGCAUGCCGCAAGGCGCAACUCGCAGGAGACCGCCAGCGAUAAGUUGGAGGAAGGUGGGAUGACGUCAAGUCAUCAUGGCCUUUAUGUCCAGGGCCACACACGUGCUACAAUGGGCGGUACAAAGCGCUGCCAACCCGCGAGGGGGAGCUAAUCGCCAAAAACCGUCCUCAGUUCGGAUUGCAGGCUGCAACUCGCCUGCAUGAAGCUGGAAUCGCUAGUAAUGCUAUAUCAGAACGAUAGCGUGAAUACGUUCCCGGGCCUUGUACACACCGUAGAGAC
rnacentral:rRNA from 1 species